UACGGAGGGUGCGAGCGUUGUUCGGAAUUACUGGGCGUAAAGCGCGUGUAGGCGGCGACCUAAGUCUGGUGUGAAAGCCCGGGGCUUACCCCCGGAAGCGCACUGGGUACUGAGUAGCUCGAGUACUGGAGAGGAGGGUGGAAUUCCUGGUGUAGCGGUGAAAUGCGUAGAUAUCAGGAGGAACACCUGUGGCGAAAGCGGCUCACUGGACCAUUACUGACGCUGAUGCUCGAAAGCUAGGGGAGCAAACAGG
rnacentral:rRNA from 1 species